UACAGAGGUCUCAAGCGUUGUUCGGAUUCAUUGGGCGUAAAGGGUGCGUAGGCGGCGCGGUAAGUCGGGUGUGAAAUCUCGGAGCUUAACUCCGAAACUGCAUUCGAUACUGCCGUGAUUGAGGACUGGAGAGGAGACUGGAAUUUACGGUGUAGCGGUGAAAUGCGUAGAGAUGUGGAGGAACACCCGAUGGCGAAGGCAGCCCCCCUGGGUCAAAAACUGAC
rnacentral:rRNA from 1 species